UGUUCGCAGAUCGCAGAUCCACGUCUGCCUAUGCAUCACUCUUCGUCUUGUAUCCUCCGUUCCUGUUUUCCAGUGUCUGAUCUUAGCCUGUCUUACCAUGUGGUCUAAUAAAGCGUUGCAUUUGGAUCCGCACGUUUCCUGUUCCAUUGGCUCCGUAACAGAACACUCAGCCCAACAAGGAUCCAGCGACUAUUCCAAAGGACAUUGGCCAGGUAUGAGCACAGCGAUUCAGUUACUAGCUCUCAAGCAGGGCUGAGGGUUACAUUGAGGAAUAUUUGGCUUGGGCUAAUGGCACAGAAUUACCGGACUGUAUGCUGAUAGACUUUUUCUGUGAUGGCCUUAACCAGCCUUUAAAGUCAAGAAUUAUUCAUGAGAGUCCUCGUUUGUCAUUGAGUAAUUUUUUGGAUUAUGUUUUGUGGACCGUUGGUUCAACGUUCACUGUGGGUGUCGCAGAGGAACGCGAUCCUACUCCCACUCGUGUAAUGGCGACUGUAUUAGAUCAGGCUCACAAGAUGUCGGACACAACAGCACCCCUAUAUGUUACCGCUGCCAAUCCAGAAUCAAGUCAAGUCACAGCUGAACGUACAGAUUCACAUCACCUUACAAUUGACUAUCCAGAGCUCAGUCAAGUCUCAUGUCUACCUGAAUCUAUUCACGUCAUGUCUACCACUCCAGAGUCUUGUACUGUUACAGUCGUCAAACCACAACUUUUCACUGUCCUAUCGAAGGAAUCUGUCUUCAGGGGCCAGAGGUUGGCAUCCAGCGUGGAGGAUCCACUGCUGAUGUCAGCAUGCAAUGCUGGAAUUCCCAAGCCAAGUCAAUCUAGUCCUCCUGAUCAUGAACCCAUAAACCUGUCUACAGCGCUUCCCACUUGGGGGGUUGCUUUAGUGUGUGUUUGGGCUGCAUUUACGACCACAGAACUUCCUGAGGAGAUGACACCUGUUGCAGUUUCUCCAGAGGUGGAAUCGUGUGCUGCAGAAUCUCUCGAUCCGUGGGUACCCACUUCGGUUCCUAGGGUGGUGGUAGCGUCCAGCACUGAACUCUCUCUGCCUCCUGAUGGAAUUACAGUGGAACCUCCAGAAGAGGCGGCGAUUGCUGCAAAACCUCCAGAGGUGUCAGUGAUGUCCAUAAAUUCACUCCCUGCCUGUCCUGUCAUGGUCAAAGAAAUCAGCAUUGAACUCUCUCUGUCUCCUGCCAUGACUAUUGUAGAACCUCCAGAGGUGUCCGGGAUGUCAUCCUAUGAACACUCAUCCUGCCCUAAACCUGCCAAGGAGUCAUUUUCUGAACUUACUGUCGGCCCUGUCAUGAUUAUCAAGGUCGAGCCUGAACUUUCUAUUGAUCCUGUCACUGUCAUAGGGACUAGUUACGAACUAUCUGCCUUGCCAAUUCAUACUAAUGAAACUGUCUCUGUGAUGCCUGUCUCAGACAGAGCAUACACAGCCUCAAUGGUUUGUUUCCUUUGUUUUGUUCAUCUUUUAUCCUGGUUGUGGUUAUCAUCUCUGUCUGACCUUCCGUGGGGGUCUUCGGACUCAUCUGCCCUGAUCUGGUGGUCUUCAGCUUCACCGUGGGGGUCUUCAGACUCAUCUGCCCUGAUCUGGUGGUCUUCAGCUCCGCCUGUGCUUCCGGCUUCUUCCUAGUUUCCUGCUCUGCUGGUCCUGCUUCAGGUCCUGGUUGCUGCACUGCCUCAUGGACCCGGCCCUCCGUCCCGCCCCCAGUUCCGCUUCCGCUCCACCGCCCUCCUGGAUCCUAUACUGUGGGGAGCGUCUGGAAGCUGCUCUUUGGGGAGGGGCUCUGUAACGGACCUGAUUUGUAGUCUUCUGUCUGAUCGCCAACAGAAUUUGCCUGUGC
ensembl:lncRNA